AGUGUCUCCCGACCCCUCCUGUCCCAGCCGCCAGUAUUUAUGCUGCAAUAAUUUAUGUGUCGGGGUCAGUCAGUUAUAUCUGGAGUAUUUCUCAUGUCUUAUCCGGUGUCCUGUAUGAAUUUAAGUUUUAAAUCCCUCUAGUUCUCUCUCUCUCUUUUUCUCUCGCUCUCUGUCUUCUCUCUCUCUCUUUCACUCUCUCUCUUUCUCUCUCUCCCUCUUUCUCUCAGAGGACCUGAGCCCUAGGACCAUGCCUCAGGACUACCUGGCCUGAUGACUCCUUUCUGUCCCCAGUCCACCUGGUCAUGCUGCUGCUCCAGAUUUUAAUCUAUUCUGCCUGCAGCUAUGGAACCCUGACCUGUUCACCGAACGUGCUACCUUGUCCCGGACCUGCAGUUUUGGACUCUACCACACCUGCUGUCUCUAACUCUUAAUGAUCGGCUAUGAAAAUCCAACUGACAUUUACUCCUGAUGUGCUGACCUGUUGCACCCUCUACAACCACUGUGAUUAUUAUUAUCUGACCCUGCUGGUAAAACGUCUAUGAACGUUUGAACAUCUUGGCCAUGUUCUGUUGUAAUCUCCACCCGGCACUGUCAGAAGAGGACUGGUCACCCUUCAGAGCCUGGUUCUAGGUUUCUUCCUAGGUUCUAGGAGUUUUUCCUAGCCACCGUGCUUCUACAUCUGCAUUGCUUGCUGUUUGGGGAUUUAGGCUGGGUUUCUGUACAGCACUUUGUGACAUCGGCUGAUGUAAAAAGGGCUUUAUAAAAACGUUUGAUUGAUUGAUUGAUCCACCUUAUUGUCCAGAGACUGAACAUUGACUCGUAACAUACUAGGAAGUCCAUUUUCUCAGCCUCACUAAAACGCCACCUCUCCUACCACGUUAACGCCUCUUACUGGGUAAGGAGCCAGGUGUGAGUAGGACUGUUUCAGAGGAUCCAAAUAAAGGGUUCAGCUCUGGAAAGCCGAAUUUGAGGUACUGAGUCUUCUGAAUCACCCUGUCACUUGCCUCAUGACCUAUCAGCUCUUCGCCCCAUCACUGCAUCAUCAUCAUUAUCCUCCAUCUCCUCCUCGUGGAACUCAUGUGUGACUGGGGAUCUGGGAGUCGGGACAGGGACAGUUCAGCCUCUUACCUCGUUGGGCUGUGAUAAUCCCAUCGCCAUGGUGACGGAGGCCAAGAGGAUUGCAGUGCUGGCCACUACCACAGCGCCUCCCGACCGGUACACCACGCGGCCAUUGAGGGGCUGCACCGGCCGGAAUGUGCCCACCAUAGGCUUGCCAUCCUUAAACUGGAGGUCUGAGAACACCCGCAGCUCGAAGAUGGAAAGAACAGACAGGCACAAAGGUCACUGAGAUGCAGUUGAUAUUAAAAGUAACAAUAAGUAUCAUAUAAAAUGAACACAGUGUAUCUACUGGUGCGUUUUGUUCAAUUACUCAAAGCCAGACUAACAGACUCUCGUCACAGAAGUAUUUUUAGACAGACAGAAUGCUCGGCUCUCUACCACAUAACUUCUCUGCUUCCAGGGUGUUUCAUAAUGUACAAACAGUGGUGGGAAAAGUACCCAGUUGUCAUACUUGAGUAAAAGUAAAGAUACCUUAAUAGAAAAUGACUCAAGGAAAAGUGAAAGUCACCCAAUAAAAUAUUACUUGAGUAAAAGUCUAAAAGUAUCUGGUUUAAAAUGUAAUUAAAAGUACAGUGGUAGAAAAAGUAUGGAAUUGUCAUAUUUGAGAUAAAGUCAAAAGUGUAAGUAAAUGUUAGCAAUCAAGUUCCCUAUAUUAAGCAAACCAGACAGCACGAUUUUCUUGUAUUUUUUUUUAUUUACAGAUAGCCAGGUUCACACGCAAACAUAAAUUACAAACACAGUAUUUGUGUUUAGUGAGUCAUUUUUGUUGGGAUGAUUAGUGAGUCAUCCCUUCAGAGGCUGUAGGGAUGACAAUGUGUUGAUAAGUGUGUGAAUUUACCUGCUGUCCUGUCUGAGCAUUCGAAAUGGAACGAGAACUUUUGGGUGUCAGGGAAAAUGUAUGGGAGUUAAAAAGUACACAUUUUCUUUAGGAAUGUAGUGGAGUAAAAGUAGUCAAAAUAUAAAUACUUCAGUAAAGUACAGAUACCCCCCAAAAACUUCUUAAGUAGUACUUCAAAGUAUUUUUACUUGACCUAUUUUUACUUUUACACCACUGGCCAGCAAGAUGAUGGGUUAACGAGCUGCUCUACCUGGUCUCUGCUGAGAGGGAUGGGCUUCUCGAACACAGUCCAGAUCACACA